AUAUAACAAUUCGCGUUAUUAAUCGCCCAGCUAACCUGUACAGCAAACCUGCAUAUUCACUUAAGCCACCCUUUUGUGAAUAAAAUAUUCCGACCAUGUCGCUAAUCACAACAUGUACAAUGAUGACCACGUAUUGAAUUAUACUUUCUAUCUAAAUAUUUAUUGUUGGAAAAUACUAGUAUAAAUUUCUCAGUUACAAGUAUCUUCUCUACUUAUUAUUAAAGGAGAAUCGAACGUCGUGAUGGUUCGAUCUCCUCCCCUCUUUUCCUCAAGAGAUCCUGUACCGCGAAAAUCGCUAGGAAAAAAUCCACAUUCCGAGCCCUCGUAAAGACCCAAAAAAUCACAAUGUCUUCCUCUCUACU
rnacentral:lncRNA from 1 species